AUUGAACGCUGGCGGCAUGCCUAACACAUGCAAGUCGAACGGCAGCACGACCUAGCUUGCUAGGUUGGUGGCGAGUGGCGCACGGGUGAGUAAUGCGUAGGAAUAUACCUUAAAGUGGGGGACAACCUGGGGAAACUCAGGCUAAUACCGCAUGAGCUCUAAGGAGGAAAGCUGGGGACCUUUCGGGGCCUGGCGCUUUGAGAAUAGCUUACGUCCGAUUAGUUAGUUGGUGGGGUAAAGGCUUACCAAGACGAUGAUCGGUAGCUGGUCUGAGAGGAUGAUCAGCCACACUGGGACUGAGACACGGCCCAGACUCCUACGGGAGGCAGCAGUGGGGAAUAUUGGACAAUGGGGGAAACCCUGAUCCAGCGAUGCUGCGUGUGUGAAGAAGGCCUGCGGGUUGUAAAGCACUUUCGGUGGGGAGGAGGACUUAUAGGUUAAGAGCUAAUGAGUUGGACGUUACCCACAUAAGAAGCACCGGCUAACUCCGUGCCAGCCGCCGCCGUAA
rnacentral:rRNA from 1 species